AAAAACUGAACGCAAUCGCAGACAAAACAGACUGAAACUUGCUUGCAAAAUGGUGCGAGUUUCACUGAACGCAACCUAAACGCAUCCGGACCAAUCCUGUCACGCCGGUGUGAACCCAGC